ACACAACGACAACGAUCUUUGCAAUACUCAGUCUGCUACCUCAGACCCGCCCCGACCCCGACCGACGAAAAGCUUGGCUCCACUGACCUUAAUUCUAUCUUCCAAUCUUUCUUGUCUUGUUGUUUCAUUUGAGCCCGUGCCACUCAUUUUCGUCUGAAUCUGAGAGAAAGGGAAGCGAAGGGAAAGGAAGAAGAAUUGCGUCUGAAUCCUCUUUUUCCAUGCCCGUCGCCCUAACCAUCACCACUUUCGUCGUCUCACCUGCUCUCAAUCAUCAUCAGGUACUACUCUCACUCAUCUCCUCAUUGUCUCCAUCCAUUGACGUCGAGCAGAACUGCAUCAGCAUCUACAACAACGUCGUUGGAGUUCUUGUUGCGAUUCACCAAGAGGAGAAGGUCUACAUCCCGGAGAAGAACUUCGGACAUCUUUUGACUAGUAGCAAUUACUAUGAUAUGGUGAAGAAGACCACCGGUGGACGCAACGACUAUGGCUCCAAGCUUACGAACAUCUUCUUCACCGAGUUCAUCAUCGAGACGACGGACGUAUAAGCAGGUGAAAGUGGAAGAUGCAUAUCUUCUUGCAUUAUAACAAGAAGGCCGUCGAGCAUUGCUAGCAGAACCUAAAGUCGACAUGUUAUGGUUGAUGGGCUCUUGCGUUUUCGCGAGGGGAAUACAGGAAUAUGCUUGAACAUUGAAGAUUUCUUGUAGAUAUGGCUUUGGGCUCGCCUGCUUUCCUCUUGCUAUGUGAGAUGCAGUAUUUGGCAUUCUUAUAAGUUGAUCUAAUACGAUAGGAUGAUUUCGAGCUUACUCGGUCAAAUUUUUGUUACACAUCGCUUGCUUGUUCGCGUAACUGAACAACCAUUUAUACAUUGAAGUGUUUGCUUGUAGUAGACAGGCAGUGGUGACCCAAAG
rnacentral:sRNA from 1 species